rnacentral:rRNA from 1 species
GAUGCAGCGACGCCGCGUGCGGGAUGAAGGCCUUCGGGUUGUAAACCGCUUUCAGCAGGGACGAGGCGAAAGUGACGGUACCUGCAGAAGAAGCCCCGGCUAACUACGUGCCAGCAGCCGCGGUAAUACGUAGGGGGCAAGCGUUACCCGGAUUCAUUGGGCGUAAAGCGCGCGUAGGCUGCCCAGUAGGUCGAGAGUUAAAUCCGGGGGCUCAACCCCCGUCCGCUCCCGAUACCGCUGGGAUUCGAGUCUGGUAGGGGAAGGUGGAAUUCCCAGUGUAGCGGUGGAAUGCGCAGAUAUUGGGAAGAACACCGGUGGCGAAGGCGGCCUUCUGGGCCAUGACUGACGCUGAGGCGCGAAAGCUAGGGGAGCGAACAGGAUUAGAUACCCUGGUAGUCCUAGCCGUAAACGAUGGGCACUAGGUGUGGGGAGGCUUUACUUUCCGUGCCGACGCUAACGCAUUAAGUGCCCCGCCUGGGGAGUACGGCCGCAAGGCUAAAACUCAAAGGAAUUGACGGGGGCCCGCACAAGCAGCGGAGCAUGUGGCUUAAUUCGAAGCA